rnacentral:rRNA from 1 species
CGUCCACAGANUGGAUAACACCUGGAAACAGAUGCUAAUACCGGAUAACAACAGAUGAUGCCUAUCAACUGUUUAAAAGAUGGUUCUGCUAUCACUCUUGGAUGGACCUGCGGUGCAUUAGCUAGUUGGUAGGGUAACGGCCUACCAAGGCGAUGAUGCAUAGCCGAGUUGAGAGACUGAUCGGCCACAUUGGGACUGAGACACGGCCCAAACUCCUACGGGAGGCAGCAGGC